UCGGGAAUAUUGGACAAUGGAGGGAACUCUGAUCCAGUGACGCCGCGUGAAGGAAGAAGGUCUUCGGAUUGUAAACUUAUUUCGUCAGGGAAGAAAAAAAUGACAUUACCUGAAGAAGAAGCCCCGGCUAACUACGUGCCAGCAGCCGCGGUAAUACGUAGGGGGCAAGCGUUAUCCGGAUUUAUUGGGUGUAAAGGGCGCGUAGACGGAGUUGUAAGUCAGAUGUGAAAGGUUGGGGCUCAACCCCAAGAGUGCAUCUGAAACUAUAACCCUUGAGUGCAGGAGAGGAAAGUGGAAUUCCUAGUGUAGAGGUAAAAUUCGUAGAUAUUAGGAGGAACACCAGUGGCGAAGGCGGCUUUCUGGACUGUAACUGACGUUGAGGCGCGAAAGCGUGGGGAGCAAACAGG
rnacentral:rRNA from 1 species